rnacentral:rRNA from 1 species
UACGGAGGGUGCAAGCGUUAUCCGGAUUCACUGGGUUUAAAGGGUGCGUAGGUGGAUAUGUAAGUCCGUGGUGAAAUCUCUAAGCUUAACUUAGAAACUGCCCUGGAUACUAUAUGUCUUGAAUGUUGUGGAGGUUAGCGGAAUAUGUCAUGUAGCGGUGAAAUGCAUAGAUAUGACAUAGAACACCAAUUGCGAAGGCAGCUGGCUACCCAACUAUUGACACUGAGGCACGAAAGCGUGGGGAUCAAACAGG